CCCAGAGGUAUUGAUUGGUGUGAAGAUCGGCAGCCGAUGCUGCUCACCCUGUUCAGUUGCACCGACCCACGCAGAUGCGUGGGUUUUUUUU
rnacentral:sRNA from 1 species